rnacentral:rRNA from 1 species
UACGUAGGGGGCAAGCGUUGUUCGGAAUUACUGGGCGUAAAGGGCGCGUAGGCGGCAGGCCAAGUCGGGGAGUGAAAGCCCCGGGGCUCAACCCCGGAAUGUCUUUCGAAACUGGCCAGCUGGAGUGCGGAAGAGGCAACUGGAAUUCCCAGUGUAGCGGUGAAAUGCGUAGAUGUUGGGAAGAACACCGGUGGCGAAGGCGGCGAGCUGGCCUGUUACUGACGCUGAGGCGCGACAGCGUGGGGAGCAAACAGG